AUAUCCGGUUUUAUCCCGUUUCUCUCUGCUUGUGCGGAGUUGCACGGCGGUUGGGGGUUCUUCUUAUUCGUGCUAAAAACUUUACCGUUGGGAAACAAUCGGAAAAUAACGUUUUAAUUCUCCGAUUCACAGCUGCAGGCGCUCCCUCUCCAUAGUAGCUUUCUAGGCCUCCCUGUCUCAAACAAAUGGACACACACUAAAGGAAGCGUCUUGGCAAACAUGGGUAACGUUACCCAGAAUAAACCCAGCGAGGACACAAUGGGAGAUCGUAGUUUGCUCCAUGAACUCCUGAUGAGGCUGAUCGAGGUCGCAGGGGCCCGUGGCAGAGGCUGGUGCGACACCAGUGUGUGAUAGUGAACAAAGUGCAGCCAACUCGCGCUGUGAGCGGCGGAGUGGCAGCCAGAUUGUGACAGAGUAGAAACAGAUUUAUGGUGAGAGUUCUGUCUGAUCACAAGUGUUUUCAGUUAGUGAAUUUUCGGGUUUUUUUCACCUGCUGGUCUCAUCCAGCUCUGUUUCCGUCAGAUGGUCUGUCUGUAUCAGCCGAACAGUAACACAGGCUAAUGCACUGAGUAGCUAUAGGGCAGGCAAAAAUACUAUGAAUUCUAAUUUAAUGACCUUAGUCUCUUAAUAAACGACUUUUUUUUUUUUU